UACAGAGGUCUCAAGCGUUGUUCGGAUUCAUUGGGCGUAAAGGGUGCGUAGGCGGCGCGGAAAGUCGGGUGUGAAAUUUCGGAGCUUAACUCCGAAACUGCAUUCGAUACUCCCGUGCUUGAGGACUGGAGAGGAGACUGGAAUUUACGGUGUAGCGGUGAAAUGCGUAGAUAUCGUAAGGAAGACCAGUGGCGAAGGCGGGUCUCUGGACAGUUCCUGACGCUGAGGCACGAAGGUCAGGGGAGCAAACGGG
rnacentral:rRNA from 1 species